GACGAACGCUGGCGGCGUGCUUAACACAUGCAAGUCGAACGCUGAAGCUUGGUUCUUGCCCUGGGUGGAUGAGUGGCGAACGGGUGAGUAAUACGUGAGUAACCUGCCCUUGACUCUGGGAUAAGCCUGGGGAACUGGGUCUAAUACUGGAUACGACAUGUCACCGCAUGGUGGUGUGUGGAAAGGGUUUUACUGGUUUUGGAUGGGCGCAGGGCCUAUGAGCUUGUUGGUGGGGUAAUGGCGCACCAAGGCGACGACGGGUAGCCGGCCUGAGAGGGUGAACGGCGACCAUGGGCCUGCGGCACGGCCCAGACUCCAACGGGAGGCAGCAGUGGGGAGUAUUGCCCAAUGGGCGGAAGCCUGAUGCAGCGACGCCGCGUGAGGGAUGACGGCCUUCGGGUUGUAAACCUCUUUCAGCACGGAAGAAGCGAAAGUGACGGUACGUGCAGAAGAAGCGCCGGCUAACUACGUG
rnacentral:rRNA from 1 species